CAGCAGCCGCGGGAAUACGAAGGGGGCUAGCGUUGUUCGGAUUUACUGGGCGUAAAGGGCGCGUAGGCGGACUGAUAAGUCAGGGGUGAAAUCCCAAGGCUCAACCUUGGAACUGCCUUUGAUACUGUUUGUCUUGAGUUCGAGAGAGGUAAGUGGAACUGCGAGUGUAGAGGUGAAAUUCGUUGAUAUUCGCAAGAACACCAGUGGCGAAGGCGGCUUACUGGCUCGAUACUGACGCUGAGGCGCGAAAGCGUGGGGAGCAAACAGGAUUAGAUACCCCUGUAGUCCCUGUCUCUUAUAA
rnacentral:rRNA from 1 species